GACGAACGCUGGCGGCGUGCCUAAUACAUGCAAGUUGAGCGCUGAAGGUUGGUACUUGUACCUACUGGAUGAGCAGCGAACGGGUGAGUAACGCGUGGGGAAUCUGCCUUUGAGCGGGGGACAACAUUUGGAAACGAAUGCUAAUACCGCAUAAAAACUUUAAACACAAGUUUUAAGUUUGAAAGAUGCAAUUGCAUCACUCAAAGAUGAUCCCGCGUUGUAUUAGCUAGUUGGUGAGGUAAAGGCUCACCAAGGCGAUGAUACAUAGCCGACCUGAGAGGGUGAUCGGCCACAUUGGGACUGAGACACGGCCCAAACCCCUACGGGAGGCAGCAGUAGGGAAUCUUCGGCAAUGGACGAAAGUCUGACCGAGCAACGCCGCGUGAGGGAAGAAGGUUUUCGGAUCGUAAAACUCUGUUGGUAGAGAAGAACGUUGGUGAGAGUGGAAAGCUCAUCAAGUGACGGUAACUACCCAGAAAGGGACGGCUAACUACGUG
rnacentral:rRNA from 1 species